UACGGAGGAUGCGAGCGUUAUCCGGAUUUAUUGGGUUUAAAGGGUGCGUAGGCGGACGCUUAAGUCAGCGGUAAAAUUGCGGGGCUCAACCUCGUCGAGCCGUUGAAACUGGGUGCCUUGAGUGGGCGAGAGGUACGCGGAAUGCGUGGUGUAGCGGUGAAAUGCAUAGAUAUCACGCAGAACUCCGAUUGCGAAGGCAGCGUACCGGCGCCCAACUGACGCUGAAGCACGAAGGCGUGGGUAUCGAACAGG
rnacentral:rRNA from 1 species